rnacentral:tRNA from 1 species
UUUUAAAGGAUAGAAGCAAUCCAAUGG